rnacentral:rRNA from 1 species
CUGACCGAUAGUGAACCAGUACCGUGAGGGAAAGGCGAAAAGAACCCCGGCGAGGGGAGUGAAAAAGAACCUGAAACCGUGUACGUACAAGCAGUGGGAGCACGCUUAGGCGUGUGACUGCGUACCUUUUGUAUAAUGGGUCAGCGACUUAUAUUCUGUAGCAAGGUUAACCGAAUAGGGGAGCCGAAGGGAAACCGAGUCUUAACUGGGCGUU